ACAUUUGUAAAACUCUGGCAAUUUAUUUUACUUUUUGACUAUCUUUAUAAAUUUUGGCAAAUUUUGUCUUGUCUUUGAGAUGACACAACCAGGGUCAUCGAGAGCCUCUGCGCCGCCCUAGACAAAUUUCCUGAAUGGCACCCCAUAUUUCUGUCUUUUCAUGUUAUCAGUGAAAGACUCUUUUUUUUUUAAGUUCCCUUAUUUUUUUUGCGCCCCUAGAACAUCUGCCACCUGGGACAAACUGCCCCUUUGUCCCCCCCUCCUUGUUGUGUUGUGUCCAGUGCCUUGGCGGCACAACACAAUAAAUACAUUUUGCAAUAACAAAUCACUAAUAAUGUUCUUAAAAAGAAAUGAACAUUUUCUAACAUGAUUCUUUCAUACUUAAGACAAUGUAAAACUUGGAACAUUUGAUUACAUAUUAUAUAUGACAACAAGGACAUUCAUAAGACUAAUUUCCACAGUUCCUUUUGAUUCAGAUGAAGUUGCUCGCCUGAGGACUUUUUUGAGUACAUCUACUUUGAACUUUUUAAACAAUGUCUUGACAAAUGACAUUUUGAAAAAGGAGCUAAAAAUAGUAUUCUUCAGUAUUGCCAAGUUGUUCUUCCUUCCGACAAUGACCCAUGGGUUCUAAGAGAGUUUUUUCUAAACUUAAGUCAACGCUUCUUUUUAAUUUUCCUAACUGCUUGGAACACUGGGAUUCACUUCUAAGACAGGUUUCAAACAUAAUUAGGCAAUAACAUUGGACUAAAAGUCAUUCGACUUCAAAUGGAACAGCAAUUAGACAUUUCAACAGGUUUCAAAACCUAAAAAGUCUCCAUAUAUUAUGGAUUCAAUAUCUAAAGCUGAACCAGUGCAAGAGCAGCUUCUUCUUGAAGUUGAGGUAAAAUUUAUGUUGAGCUCCAAAAGACUUCAGGGAAGGAGGAGAAAGGGGCGCUUGGAGAGGACAUUUGAGCUUGAAAAAGAUCUAUCUUCUAAUACAGCUUAAGGACUCUCAGUGGCUGGUAACGGCUAGUAACCCCUGCAAAUUUUGUUUGUUUAGCUUAGGUAGAGUUUGUAAAAAGCUCUGUUUUUAGCAGGGGCUUGGUCACUUACUACUUGAUAUAUUUUACUAAUUAUUAUAUACUUUUUUUUUUCUAAUUACUUUUUUUUACGAUUAAAAAUACAUUACAAA